rnacentral:rRNA from 1 species
GCGUGAGUGAAGAAGGCCUUAGGGUUGUAAAGCUCUUUCACCCGUGAAGAUGAUGACGGUAGCGGGAGAAGAAGCCCCGGCUAACUCCGUGCCAGCAGCCGCGGUAAUACGGAGGGGGCAAGCGUUGUUCGGAAUUACUGGGCGUAAAGGGCGCGUAGGCGGACCGACAAGUCAGGGGUGAAAGGCCUGGGCUCAACCUGGGGACUGCCUUUGAAACUGUAGGUCUAGAGUCCGGGAGAGGAUGGCGGAAUUCCCAGUGUAGAGGUGAAAUUCGU